AUGUCUGCUGCAUCGGGCUAUGUUGAUGUCCCUCGCUGUCCGGUGAUCUUUGAUGGUACUAACUACACCGAGUUCACUGGCUUUAUGCGCAUUCACAUGCGUGGCAUCCGUCUCUGGGGUGUUCUUUCUGGCGAGGUCUGCUGUCUGCCACGUCCAGUUCCUCCGGUGGCCUCUACUCCGCCGACUCCACUGGUUCUUCCUACGGAUGCUAAUCAGGCCGCCAAGAAUGCGGCUAAGCUUGCUGAUGAGGCUGCUGAUCGUGCGUAUGAUGAGAGGGUUUUGGCUUAUGAGGAUGCUCUUCAGACUUAUCAUGGUGCUUUGUCUGUUUACACCCAGUGGCUUGAUGAUGAUGCUCGUGCUGCAGCUAUUCUCACUGCUAGUGUUCUGCCUCAGUUUGCUUCUGAGUUUCUGGGUCUUCCUACUGCCUUUGAGAUGUGGACCUGUCUUCGUCAGCGCUACGAGCCCUCUGGUGAUGCCUUAUACCUUUCUGUGGUCCGUCAGGAGCAUGCUCUUCAGCAGGGUGACUCUACUGUUGAUGACUUCUAUGCACAGAGUUAUGCUAUCUGGCGCCAGCUUGAUUCUCUCCGCAGUGCUGGUUGUUGUACUUGCCCCUGUUGCCAGGCUGUCAAGGCCAAUUUGGAGUUUCAUCGCGUCUACGAGUUCCUGUCUCAGCUCCGUAAGGAGUUUGAGCCCCGGCGUGCUCAGUUGUUUGCUCGUGCCGUAUUUAUCUCAUGUAGGCCCUUUCUGAGAUUCGUGCUGAGGAGACUCGCUUACGUGGUGCUGGUUUGCUGGAGGUUCCCUCUGUGCUCGCUACUCGGGCUCCUUCUACGCCACCUGCUGCACCGACCCCUUCUCGCUCGAGUGCUCCGCCGCUCUUGCCCACUCCUUCUGGAGGCUCAGGUCGCCCCCGUCCACAUUGCGACUAUUGCAACAAUGAUGGUCAUAUUGAGUCCCAGUGCUACACAAAGAAGAAACACCUGCGCAAGGCACGAUCAUCAUCUUCAGGGACUUCGUCAUCUACCUCGACAGCUUCAGCCAUUGCUUUGA
rnacentral:rRNA from 1 species